rnacentral:rRNA from 1 species
UGCUCGAGUGGCGAACGGGUGAGUAACACGUGGGUGAUCUGCCCUGCACUUCGGGAUAAGCUUGGGAAACUGGGCCUAAUACCGGAUAGGACCAUCGUUUAGUGUCGGUGGUGGAAAGUUUUUUCGGUGUGGGAUGAGCUCGCGGCCUAUCAGCUUGUUGGUGGGGUAAUGGCCUACCAAGGCGUCGACGGGUAGCCGGCCUGAGAGGGUGUACGGCCACAUUGGGACUGAGAUACGGCCCAG